GCUAUAUAGCUAUGUCGAACACUGAUUUAAUAAGCACUCAUUUUAUAUCUUUAUCUAUUUUUUUGUGUGUCACUUGUUGUUGAGAAUACUUAUUGUUCCAGGUCCACCACCAGCGAUUAAACCCAAUAUCGACGGACCACCUAUAAAUAUACCAAGAGUAGAUGAACAACGUGCCAGUACCCCGACUAUCGAUGAGCGUAGAGAUCCGAUGUCGUCACAGGUGAUAUACAAUCGAGGCCCACCUCCUUAUAUGCCAGCAGUGCCUCCGCCGGUGCAUUUUAACAAGUAAGCUUCAGCCUUUGAUUGUCUGUAAAAUUAAAAAAAAUGUAUUAUUAUUCAAAAAAAUGUUGUCGUUUUUUCGAAACUUUUGAGAGUGAGUAAUUAAUAAGAAAAUAUUUCGGUAAGUCUUUAGAUUAAGAGCCGUCGAAUUAUCUAAGCUCAAAAUUAGAG